rfam:Myotis davidii contig321555, whole genome shotgun sequence.
GGCAGUUCUCAGGUGACACACUCAGAAUCAGGUUCCUUCUUCUCUGGUUCUGGGAUGUGUCACCCGAGAUUCACC